rnacentral:misc_RNA from 1 species
UUUAAUUAGCUUAUUUGAGUUUAGAAUUGCUAAUUUAUUGUGGAUUUGUGGUAUAAAUUGAUGCAGUCACCGUCCCUUCUUGCAGAGUUUCAAUUUUGUUUUGGUUCCUGAUUUCGAAUAACUUAGUUAUGCACAAAAUUUGCUUGAUACUUUCAUAAGAUUAUAACUUGUAUCAGAUAAUGAGGAAUCAAAAUUAUAGGUCAUGGAUUUGCUUGCAGAUUUCAGAUUGCACAGAUUGCAUAUUUUUUCCAAUUCUCACAGAUGUCAGAUUUUCCCAAAUCACCUUAAAACUGAAAAAUUGAACUGGCUCAUAUAACUCCCCUAGUCUUGUUGGAAACAUAAGAUAUCACAUUAUUUUUGAAUUUAUAAUAACCUUCUGUCUAAUUUAUUCAAAAUGUUUGACAUCAGAAAGUUGCUGCCAUCAUCGAUGA